rnacentral:rRNA from 1 species
UACAGAGGUCCCAAGCGUUGUUCGGAUUCACUGGGCGUAAAGGGUGCGUAGGUGGUAAGGUAAGUCGGAUGUGAAAUCUCCAGGCUCAACCUGGAAAUGGCAUCGGAAACUACCUUGCUCGAGGUUUGGAGGGGGGACUGGAAUACUUGGUGUAGCAGUGAAAUGCGUAGAUAUCAAGUGGAACACCAGUGGCGAAGGCGAGUCCCUGGACAACACCUGACACUGAGGCACGAAAGCUAGGGGAGCAAACGGG